AGAUAACAAUCAACAUAAUUCUGAAAAAGUGUUAACGAAGAAAGAUAUUUUAAAUCAGUUUGGAAAAUCAAGAUUUGCCAGAUGGCCCCCAACUUUAGAUGUGACCAAAUAUUCUCUGUACUUUAAUAUACGCACUUGGUGGCUUGACCAAAACAACAUCAUCCCAACUGUCAAUCUACUCGUUGGUCCCAUUCUUUUUGGAAUUGUAUUAGGUUCUAU
rnacentral:rRNA from 1 species